AGAGAGAGAGAGAUUGUGUGUAGAAAGACUAAAUUGCCCUUUUAAAAAUUGAUAAUGGCACCAGGGUUAAUGGUGUUAUUGAUGACAUAUACUAAAAAUGUGUAGGAUUAUCAACCUCAUGUACCAUUAUGAUGUUUUAUAAAGUUGAGUAACCUUAAUUCUCAGUGGUUCAUAUGUCAUGUACUCUUGUUAAAAUUUUCCCAAAGAAAUAUUAUAGGUUGUAAUAAUACUAUUGAUUUUUUUUUAAAACAAGGACGUCAAGCGAUAUAUUAAAUUGUACGAGUAUAACAUAAACAUGAUCCGCUCUCGCAGACUACGUACAAAUUGAACCAUGUGAAACUACCUAAGAAUAAACCUAAGCAAAAGUAAUCAAGCAGCCUGCUUGAUGAUGUUAAUAAUCGUACUCUCGCAAACAAGAGCCACGUUAUUGGACCUCCAAACCAAUAUUGGAUACGAACCCAAAUUAGCCCAACUCAACCUCUUGGGUCCCAAAUUCGAGCCCAACUGUGAAUAGCCCCCAAGAAAGCCUAACUCACCCUUGCCAGACCUACAACAGCCCAAGCCCACCAUGGGGAUUCCAACCCCUCUGGACACACCAAGAUUGGGUCAACCAGUGACCGUUGUUGUCGUCCCACCAUGGCCAAGGUCUGUGAUCCUGAGUCGGCCUUGAUCCUUGCCUCGGCGUCAACAGUUGUUUUCGCCUCAUCGUCUUCAACCGAAUGGAGUCCAUAUUGGCCCGGUACCCGAUCUGAACCACAAAGAAACAUGCUCUUUCCGGAUCUCCCAGGAUCUUCGCUACCAACGAGAAAAACUUUGGGUUACAUAGAAACUGAUUGCCCGCCUUUGACUCCUUUUUGGUUUUUAACCAAAGCUUUUGCUUUUUCGUUACUCUGCUAGCUUACAGAUCUGUAAGCGGUGACCGGAUAAAUUUCGGCGACCGGAGUCUAGUGAGGUUCUGACCAAAUCUUAUCUCUCCUCCAUUUUCUCUCUCUCUCUCUCUCUCUCUCUCUAU
rnacentral:lncRNA from 1 species